AGGACGGCGACCGCGGGUUCCGGAUCCCCGCCGCCGACGACACCGACGACCGCCGCGCCCUUGCCCUCCGCCUCGUCGCCGACACCCUGCUCGACCGCCGCCGCGGGUACGCGCACAGCAGCCCGUCCCGCUCCGCCGCCGCGUUCAGGUCGUAGAGCUCCUGCUCCAGCGCCUUCUGCUCGCCCACCGCGCUCUCCGCCUCCGCCGCCGCGUUCAGGUCGUAGAGCUCCUGCUCCAGCGCCUUCUGCUCGCCCGCCGCGCUCUCCGCCGCCGCCGCCGCCUCGGCCUCCCUGGCGCGCAUUUCGGCGGUUACGCGCUCGGCGGCCUCCGCGCGCGCCUCCAGCUCCUUCUCGCCGGCCUUGAGUG
rnacentral:lncRNA from 1 species